rnacentral:rRNA from 1 species
CGCUGGCGGCGUGCCUAACACAUGCAAGUCAACUUGACUGAAGGAGCAAUCUGACAGUAGAGCGGCGCAAGGGUGCGUAACGCGUAAGUAACUUGCCCAAGGUAAGGAAUAACGUCGAGAAAUCGGCGCUAAUACCUCAUAAUGCAGCGGAUCCGCAUGGAUAUGUUGUUAAAGGUUUACCGCCUUGGGAUAGGCUUGCGUCUGAUUAGCUAGUUGGUGUGGUAACGGCACACCAAGGCUACGAUCAGUAACUGGUCUGAGAGGAUGAUCAGUCACACUGGAACUGAGACACGGUCCAGACUCCUACGGGAGGCAGCAGUGAGGAAUAUUGGGCAAUGCUCGAAAGAGUGACCCAGCAACGCCGCGUGGAGGAUGAAGGUAUUCUAUAUCGUAAACUCCUGUGAGAGCAGACGAAAGACAGAUUAUUAAUCUGGAUGACUGUAUGCUCAGAGGAAGCCCCGGCUAACUACGUG